AUCCAGCCGACGAGUACCCAAAUGGGACGAAAUGCGCAUCCUGGAU
rnacentral:hammerhead_ribozyme from 1 species